rnacentral:rRNA from 1 species
GGCGGCGUGGAUUAGGCAUGCAAGUCGAACGGUAUGGACCUUUCGGGGUUCAGAGAGUGGCGAACGGGUGAGUAACACGUAGGUAAUCUACCCUCAAGACAGGGACAACCCAGGGAAACUUGGGCUAAUACCGGAUGUGUGUAGUGGCUAUUUUUCUGAUUAUCAUUAUUUACGUAAGUGAGUAAUAAUAAGAAGGGAAAGUGGUUAUUACAUAAAAGGUGGCGUAAGCUGCCGCUUGGGGAUGAGCCUGCGUCCUAUUAGUUAGUUGGUGAGGUAACGGCUUACCAAGGCGAUGAUAGGUAGGCGGCCUUAACGGGUGGUCGCCCACACUGGGAUUGAGAUACGGCCCAGACUCCUACGGGAGGCAGCAGUCGAGAAUAGUCUACAAUGGACGGAAGUCUGAUAGUGCGACGCCGCGUGAACGAAGAAUCCCUUCGGGGUGUAAAGUUCUUUUAUACGUGAGCAGUGUCCUUUAUAUUAAUAGUAUAAGGGGAGAGAUAUUAGCGUAUGAAUAAGCAACGGCUAACUCCGUG